rnacentral:lncRNA from 1 species
GCAUGAGAAGAAAGUCUAUAUCCUUUCAAGAGAAAAAGAAAGAAAAGAAAGAAAAAUGGGUGCAAGGUUUUCGGUGAGUUUCUUAAAGUUUUAGCCUGGGGUUCGGAAAGUGAGAAAGUGAGCUACGAGUGUCAUGAGGCUACAAAAUCUUAGAGAGAUCUUCAACAUCCUCUCAAGCAUGUCUGUUGAUGAUCCAAGCAUCUGAAGAA